GAUGAACGCUGGCGGCGUGCCUAAUACAUGCAAGUCGAGCGAACAGACGAGGAGCUUGCUCCUUUGACGUUAGCGGCGGACGGGUGAGUAACACGUGGGUAACCUACCUAUAAGACUGGGACAACUUCGGGAAACCGGAGCUAAUACCGGAUAAUAUUUCGAACCGCAUGGUUCGAUAGUGAAAGAUGGCUUUGCUAUCACUUAUAGAUGGACCUGCGCCGUAUUAGCUAGUUGGUAAGGUAACGGCUUACCAAGGCAACGAUACGUAGCCGACCUGAGAGGGUGAUCGGCCACACUGGAACUGAGACACGGUCCAGACUCCUACGGGAGGCAGCAGUAGGGAAUCUUCCGCAAUGGGCGAAAGCCUGACGGAGCAACGCCGCGUGAGUGAUGAAGGUCUUCGGAUCGUAAAACUCUGUUAUUAGGGAAGAACAAACGUGUAAGUAACUGCGCACGUCUUGACGGUACCUAAUCAGAAAGCCACGGCUAACUACGUG
rnacentral:rRNA from 1 species